rnacentral:rRNA from 2 species
GACGAAGGAUGCAAGCGUUAUCCGGAUUCAUUGGGUUUAAAGGGUGCGUAGGCGGACUGAUAAGUCAGUGGUGAAAUCUCUUUGCUUAACAAAGAAACUGCCAUUGAUACUGUCGGUCUAGAGUAUAGAUGACGUUGGCGGAAUAUGACAUGUAGUGGUGAAAUACUUAGAUAUGUCAUAGAACACCGAUUGCGAAGGCAGCUAACGAAACUAUAACUGACGCUGAGGCACGAAAGUGCGGGGAUCAAACAGG